UACGUAGGGGGCAAGCGUUGUCCGGAAUUACUGGGCGUAAAGGGCUCGUAGGCGGCCAACUAAGUCAGACGUGAAAUCCCCCGGCUUAACCAGGGAACUGCGUCUGAUACUGGAUGGCUUGAGUUUGGGAGAGGGAUGCGGAAUUCCAGGUGUAGCGGUGAAAUGCGUAGAUAUCUGGAGGAACACCGGUGGCGAAGGCGACAUCCUGGACCAACACUGACGCUGAGUGAGCGAAAGCCAGGGGAGCAAACGGG
rnacentral:rRNA from 1 species